rnacentral:rRNA from 1 species
ACGAACGCUGGCGGCGUGCUUAACACAUGCAAGUCAGGGGGCCCUUUCGGGGGUCACCGGCGAACGGGUGCGUAACACGUGAGCGACCUGCCCUGGUGUGGGGGAUAGCCGGCCCCAACGGCCGGGUAAUACCGCAUACGGCGCGACGGGUGGCAUCCCCGAUGCGCGAAACUUUUUAGGCGCCAGGAGGGGCUCGCGGUCCUAUCAGCUAGUUGGCGGUGGUAAUGGCCCACCAAGGCGAUGACGGGUAGCUGGUCUGAGAGGAUGGCCAGCCACAUUGGGACUGAGAGACGGCCCAGACUCCUACGGGAUGGCAGCAGUGGGGAAUCUUGCGCAAUGGCCGAAAGGCUGACGCAGCGACGCCGCGUGCGGGAUGACGGCUCUUCGGGUUGUAAACCGCUGUUGCCCGGGACGAACACCUGGUUUCGACCAGGCUGACGGUACCGGGUGAGGAUAGCACCGGCUAACUCUGUGCCAGCAGCCGCUGGUAAUACAGAGGGUGCGAGCGUUUGUCCGGAAUCACUGGGCGUAAAGGGCGCGUAGGCGGUCUCUUAAGCGUGUGGUGAAAGCCCGGGGCUCAACUCCGGGUCGGCCGUGCGAACUGGGGGACUGGAGCUUGUCAGAGGCAGGCGGAAUUCCGGGUGUAGCGGUGGAGUGCGUAGAGAUCCGGAAGAACAUCGGUGGCGAAGGCGGCCUGCUGGGACAGUGCUGACGCUGAGGCGCGACAGCGUGGGGAGCAAACAGGAUUAGAUACCCUGGUAGUCCACGCCGUAAACGAUGGGCACUAGGUGCUUGGGGGAGCGACCCCCUGAGUGCCGGCGCUAACGCAUUAAGUGCCCCGCCUGGGGAGUACGGCCGCAAGGCUGAAACUCAAAGGAAUUGACGGGGGCCCGCACAAGCGGUGGAGCAUGUGGUUUAAUUCGACGCAACGCGAAGAACCUUACCUGGGCUUGACAUGCACGGGAAAGCCUCUGGAAACAGGGGCCCCUCUUCGGAGCUCGUGCACAGGUGCUGCAUGGCUGUCGUCAGCUCGUGUCGUGAGAUGUUGGGUUAAGUCCCGCAACGAGCGCAACCCUCGCCUCUAGUUACCAGCGGGUCAUGCCGGGGACUCUAGAGGGACUGCCGGUGCCAAACCGGAGGAAGGUGAGGACGACGUCAAGUCAUCAUGGUCCUUACGCCCAGGGCCACACACGUGCUACAAUGGCACCGACAGAAGGUCGCGAGGCCGCGAGGCCGAGCCAAUCCCCAAACGGUGCCUCAGUUCGGAUUGUCCUCUGCAACUCGAGGGCAUGAAGCUGGAAUCAGCUAGUAAUCGUGGAUCAGCUACGCCACGGUGAAUACGUUCCCGGGCCUUGUACACACCGCCCGUCACAUCAUGAAAGCCGUUUGUACCCGAAGUCGCCCCUCAAAAGGCGCCGAAGGUAUGGAUGGUGAUUGGGAUGAAGUCGUAACAAG